UCCCAUAUCGGCUUAAUAAAGAGGACGUCGUUUAAUAUCGCAACUAAACUGUAGCCCUACGAUUUCUUCGAUUUUGCACGCUCGAACGAAGUGCCUUCAGCUACCAAUAAGUGGCAGUUAGAUAGCGAUCUGCAUUGGCAAACGGACAGAAAACCAGCAACAUUGUUGUAGACUAUGAAUUAUGGCGAGGAUCCACCGGAAAGAAGCUGUAACUCUCCAACGUAAGAAGAAUCUGCGAGAAACGAGCAGAAGCCCGAACGUCACUCUUGGCCGGUGUGGUUGCUAAUUAAGCAAGGCGGAGAGAAGAUCGACUGAGAACCACUAUACUCGCGCUAGAAGGCAACGAGCGAGUCUACGCCAGCAGGUAUCGUCCAAGGACCAACGCCUUUUCCUCGAAACGAUCGUCGAGGAGCAUUCGCGAGCCCUAGAACGAGUGGUUCGCGUGUCGCUGACUGAUUUCGUCGAAAAGAGCGUGCGUUCGAGCGAAGGCACACGCACGCCUCGGAUAACGAGUAGAGAACCAACAGGCACAUCCUCAUGGACCGACGAAUCCGUCGUUCGCGUUCGGCCCGCGUACGGGCCGUGUGGACCGGAUUCCGGGCCGUGCUUUGACCGUUGCUGUAAUAAAGGGCAAUCAUCGGCCAUUACGGCCGGGCUGCUUGCUGACUGGACACGCGCGUGCAUUUAAGUUCGCGCUCGCGCUCGUGUCCAGCUUGGAACGCGAGAAUGUAAUGUAUGCCGUGUACGCACUGAUUAUUGCGCGACGAGCGUGUGUCUUGUAAUUUCGAAGUUUUGUCAGAAAGAGAGAAAGAGAGAUGCCCCGCCAGGAUGAAUUUGUCUGCCGACAGACAGGGCUUUUGCCAUUUCUUGAUGGCUUUAACGGAAUACCGUGGUAUGUGCUUUUAGCGGUUGAUUCGAAGAAGAUACGGUUCGAUGGUGGAUGAAUUUACUGCUUUUUAGAAAUUGAGGAUUUAGAUACUUUGGUUGAGUCUGGUAAGAGGAGGAAUAAGAAAAGAAUACGAGCUUAGGAAUUGUAGAAAUUUGCUGACUAUUUUUGCUGUUGUUAGGUUUAGGUAGUUGAUCGUAGUAUAUAGUAUUAUGUACUUUUGGUAUUAUUCCGUCGGGGUGUUUGAAAAUAAUUGGAAUAUCUUGAAAAAUGUAGCGUAAAAAUAUAUCAUUGGUUAAUAGCGGUAACUAUCGGGCAUCGGUCAAUUGAAAAUAUAUGGAAAUUUUACUAACAUCGAAUUUUAGGUCUAACCAGAAACUUAUUAAUCGAUUUAUCUUCCACGUUGUAAAAAGAAUGAUUAAAUUGUCAGCAAUGAAAAUUAACGCAAAUCUGUAAGUAUAUUUCACUCGAUCAAGUACAUACAUACACGUCCAUUAUUUUAUUUGAAUACUCGUGCAAUUAUCAAAUAAACAUGAAAAACCUAAACCCCAUUCACCGCCAGAAACAUUCUCCCCAAAAUCAGUAUGCCUCUCGAAAAUCUGUUCUAUUCAGAUGAAACAACGAGUCUUUCGUUCAUCCUCGAUCAAACAAGCAGCAGCAAUCGCUUUUAUUCGCCGACCAUCCCUACUGGUCGCAUCAUUUAUGCAUGGGGAAUGGCGUGCACCCUGUAAUUACCCCGAAUAACGUAAUACCAGACGAGUGUAAACAUUCGCGUGCGUUCUAUGUACUCGUAAUUAGGGGAAUAAAAUGCACGAAUCGCUAAUUAUACCGCUGUGUACACGCCUUUGCAACGAGAGAAAGAGAAAUAGAGAUAUAGCGUGGAUAGGGCAGCACAGUGCACGUACGUGCAUGAGAUCCUGUCGACGGUGCAUCCGUUGAUCCUGUCACCGUCUCUCGCAGAAUCGUCGAUUUCCGCGAGGCUGAUACGCUUUUACCGCGCCGUGGUGUGCACUGCCGAUAUUAAAUGUUUGCAGGCAAUUUGAACGUAAUCGGUACCCGCGAUCCCGUUUUGCAGUUAUUACGGCCGCUCGGAGCUGACGUGUAUCGUAUUCCAGCGAGGAUAUCGAGCGUUAUUAAAACGCCUCGUCAUCCAAUCGGAGGCUUCCGUUCGAGUAACAUAGACACAAGUUACGAACGAUAGAACAGAGCUUGUCUCUUCAUAGGUUUCAAGAUGAGAUUUCAGAAUUUAACGAGGAAAGAAUUAGAGUUCCUUUUGUUGACGCGUCUGUCGUCUUUCUUGAUUCAAAUAUCCUGCAUCAUAUGGUCGCUGGAAAAUUGGCACGCUAGCAGAUAACCCUUUAAAGUUCGAAACAGCAGCGAUGCAAAGAGCAACGAUAUCGAUGAGAAAUGAGCAGAGACUGCUGUGACACAGGCUAACAGCAAAAGUGUACGAAGCUUAUAUCACUACGAAAUUAAAGAAGAAACCAUGGGAUUCCAUUAUGAAACUACUACUAUAAUUUUACUAUGUAUAGAUAUAAUAAUAAUAAACUUAAACUCUGCAUAACUUAUAACGACGUUUCAAUGAAGAUAACGCCAACCUCAUGCUAUCAAUCUUAACUGUUUCAAUAAUCUGCCAAAUGUCUCCUCAAAUAAAUCGCGGAGAAGUA